GAUGAACGCUGGCGGCGUGCCUAAUACAUGCAAGUCGAGCGAACAGACGAGGAGCUUGCUCCUUUGACGUUAGCGGCGGACGGGUGAGUAACACGUGGGUAACCUACCUAUAAGACUGGGAUAACUUCGGGAAACCGGAGCUAAUACCGGAUAAUAUUUCGAACCGCAUGGUUCGAUAGUGAAAGAUGGCUUUGCUAUCACUUAUAGAUGGACCUGCGCCGUAUUAGCUAGUUGGUAAGGUAACGGCUUACCAAGGCAACGAUACGUAGCCGACCUGAGAGGGUGAUAGGCCACACUGUAACUGAGACACGGUCCAGACUCCUACGGGAGGCAGCAGUAGGGAAUCUUCCGCAAUGGGCGAAAGCCUGACGGAGCAACGCCGCGUGAGUGAUGAAGGUCUUCGGAUCGUAAAACUCUGUUAUUAGGGAAGAACAAACGUGUAAGUAACUGUGCACGUCUUGACGGUACCUAAUCAGAAAGCCACGGCUAACUACGUG
rnacentral:rRNA from 1 species